CAUUUUAGUUUGCUUGCAACUAAAGAUGGCGACCGGCGCACGGGUGAGUAACACGUAUCCAUUCUGCCGAUAACUCAGGGAUAGCCUUUCGAAAGAAAGACUAAUACCUGAUGGCAUAGGAUUAUCGCAUGAUGAUCCUAUUAAAGAAUUUCGGUUAUCGAUGGGGAUGCGUUCCAUUAGUUUGUUGGCGGGGUAACGGCCCACCAAGACAGCGAUGGAUAGGGGUUCUGAGAGGAAGGUCCCCCACAUUGGAACUGAGACACGGUCCAAACUCCUACGGGAGGCAGCAGUGAGGAAUAUUGGUCAAUGGACGGGAGUCUGAACCAGCCAAGUAGCGUGAAGGAUGACUGCCCUAUGGGUUGUAAACUUCUUUUAUACGGGAAUAAAGUGAUCCACGUGUGGAUUUUUGUAUGUACCGUAUGAAUAAGGAUCGGCUAACUCCGUGCCAGCAGCCGCGGUAAUACGGAGGAUCCGAGCGUUAUCCGGAUUUAUUGGGUUUAAAGGGAGCGUAGGUGGAUUGUUAAGUCAGUUGUGAAAGUUUGCGGCUCAACCGUAAAAUUGCAGUUGAUACUGGCAGUCUUGAGUACAGUAGAGGUGGGCGGAAUUCGUGGUGUAGCGGUGAAAUGCUUAGAUAUCACGAAGAACUCCGAUUG
rnacentral:rRNA from 1 species